AAGUCGUAACAAGGUUUCCGUAGGUGAACCUGCGGAAGGAUCACUAAAGAGAACUGCCUUCGGGCUAAUCUCCCACCCUUUGUUUACAUUACCUUUGUUGCUUUGGCAGGCCCGUCUUCGGACCGCUGGCUUCGGCUAGUCCGUGCCUGCCAGAGGACCCCAAACUCAUAUUAUUUAUGUCGUCUGAGUACUAUAUAAUAGUUAAAA
rnacentral:misc_RNA from 1 species